AUGGUCGCGCGGGGCACCAUGCACCUCGUCUGGUCGAGCCCGCGAGCGUGGGUUGGAGGCGCGGUGGUGAUGCGGUGGCUCUGGUGGUUGGAUGGAUGGGCGGUGUGUGCUGCUGGCGGCGUGGAUAUGGAUUGGUGCUGGUGGAUGCUGGUGAUGGCACGGUGGCGCGCCGCCACGCCGGCCUGGCCGCGGUGGCGGCCGGUGGUGGAGAAGGUGGGGUGA
rnacentral:rRNA from 1 species